rnacentral:rRNA from 1 species
AGGGUGUAAACGCUGCAGACUUGGUGUUGGAGGCCCUUUUGGGGGCGAUUCAGUGCCGGAGAGAAGUUGUUAAGUCUGCUACUUGGGGAGGUACGUCCGCAAGGAUGAAACUUAAAGGAAUUGGCGGGGGAGGCACCGCAACGGGAGGAGCGUGCGGUUUAAUUGGAUCCAACACCGUAAAUCUCACCGGAUAAGACAGCGGAAUGAUUGCCGGGCUGAAGACUCUGCAUGACUAGCUGAGAGGUGGUGCAUGGCGUAGACGUCU